rnacentral:rRNA from 1 species
GGUGAACGCUGGCGGCGUGCUUAAGACAUGCAAGUCGAACGCAGUCUUCGGACUGAGUGGCGCACGGGUGAGUAACACGUAACUGGCCUACCCCCAAGUCGCGGAUAACUGGCCGAAAAGUCAGCUAAUACGUGAUGUUAUGUCCCCUUUCUGGGGGGCCAUUAAAGUUUUACUGCUUGGGGAUGGGGUUGCGUUCGAACAGCUAGUUGGGGGGGUAAAGGCCCACCAAGGCAACGACGGAUAGCCGGCCUGAGAGGGUGGCCGGCCACAGGGGCACUGAGACACGGGUCCCACUCCUACGGGAGGCAGCAGUUAGGAAUCUUCCACAAUGGGCGAAGGCCUGAUGGAGCGACGCCGCGUGAGGGAUGAAGGUUCUCGGAUCGUAAACCUCUGAAUCAGGGACGAAAGACGCGUAAGCGGGAUGACGGUACCUGAGUAAUAGCACCGGCUAACUCCGUGCCAGCCGCCGCAGUAA